rnacentral:lncRNA from 1 species
CACGCAUUAUGGGCUUCUGAUGCACACAUCUUAGGCCGGGUGUGGUGGGCGCCAACCCCACUCCACCUCAGCAACUCAAAGCGUUAAACACCAUUAAAUGGGGCGCCAUCACCAUUCUUGUUAGACCGUGGGGUAUGGUGGGGCGGGGGUUUGGGGCAUGGGUUGACACGUGGACUUCGAGGGGCACCGCUGGUCAGUUGCAUGUUGGGUCGGUAUGGCGGGGGCGUGGCUAGCCCGCAUGGGUUGGCUUGGCCAAACGGUUGUUUUUUAAACUUAAAUCCUAGCCACCUAUAGCCUAGCCAAACCAGGCAAUGAGAGCCGGCCACGGAAGACCGCUAGGCCCGCCCAACGCCCGGGCUGAAACCCCCGCCCAAGGGGCCACGCUGAAACCCAAACCCACCCGGGGUGGUGACUUGGGCGUUUGUACCCAACCCACGCCCCAUACCCCAUAGUCUUAUGCCCUUAACGAGCGCGAAUGUCGAAGGUGAUAUGGGGUCCACCACUGUAACCAAUCACCAACUUUCUUUAUUAUUAUUUUUUCUUUUAUUCAACUUUUUAGUUAACCACUACAACCUUGUAAAAAGGUGAGUUAGUUAAAGCCCCAUUGCCUAUUGCCUACGUGGCACUGACGUGACAGUUGCUUUUACACUUUUUUGUUAAUCCACUAUGCACAAUCUUAAAACCCAGAUUACUAAACCAACAAAAAUAUCAACUUUAAAAAAAAAUUGAGAUAAAAAAAUUAAAAACCAAACCUCAUAACCACAUUUGCAGGGCUUCAACUGUUGAUCAGUCCAAUCCAUCUCUUCAGCACACAAAGGACACCUCUUCUCUUCUUCAUUACUCAUCAUUCCUCUAAAAAUCACACCAAUGCCAACACAUGAACAACACACACACACACACAUUCUAACAAAAAAACCCUAAAAUUUCCAAAAUAUAAAUGCAACAAAACCCAAUAGUCACAACUCACAGAUCAAUGAAACCCACAAAACCAACAGUAUGAUGAAUCCAACUCAGCAUUCACACAUAACAUUAGUGACACACACACACACUGUAAAUGUUGUUAAAUAAAUGUAGGAAAUUGAAAUGCAAAAAAGAUUGGUGGUGCAGAAGAAAUUUAGAAACUUUGAAGGGAUGAACUCACUUACAGUAUUUGAUUGAUUGAGGAAACGCGAAGAAGCAAAGUGAAUAGUACGGCACAAAGAAAGAAUUGAAAACCACAGGAUUGAGACGAGGAUGGGUCUUUUUGUUUUUAUUUAUGUUUAUUAUUUUUAUACUUUAUCGUAUUUAUAUAUACUCUAAUUUGCAACUACUUUGUUCAGUUGCUAAUUGUACCUCUUGCUUCUAAGGUAUUCUAUGCUAAUGUGGGAUUGUAUUUUCCGCUUUAUGAGUUGUAAAUUUUUCCUCUGAUGCGGUGUGGCCUCUUCAAAAUACGUGUCUUCUUCAUAUCCCCAAUACAAGUUCACUUUCUUUCCCUCCCAUGGCUUCACCACCGACAAUUAACCUCAUCUGGGUAGUCUUCUCCAGCGUACCCAUCGGAGAUCCUUGCUAUUCUUAGAACAUCACAGCUAACAGAACUUGAAGACGAUUGUUGCAGAAUAGGUCAAAAUUAGGGUUUGUAUUUUUUCAAAACAAACAGAGAUUAUGAGCACCUCCGUACAAUUUCCAGAAUAAAAAAUCGUGACCACCAUCUUCAACCAAACAGAGCACACGAUGGCGACGACCAACGGGCUGAUUAGGCAAAUUUGAGUACAAGAAGGAGUUUGACUUCAAUGAAAGAAGAAUUUCUUAAGAAGUUGAGGUUGUUGAAAGAAUUUUAUUUUGUUGAUUAAUGGCAUCCAUUUGAUUACCCCCAUCUCUCUCUCUCUCUCUUUCCGUUCAUCAUACACACUACCACUUGCCUUUUCCCCCAAACUUCAUCUCUACACACCACCGGGACAUCAACUGGCCAGCAAAUCGUCGCUCCUACCAGGCCACCACCAGACCCCCGGGGGGCUGAAUCAUACUCGACAAUCAACAAAUAGUCUAAGCGGUCGUGGUAUUGUUGUACAAUCAGCAUGUUAGGGUUUUUUUUCUUCUCGGGUUGACACGUUUCUUGGUGACACCCAUAUUUGUUGUUGCUAGCACGGUCUAAUAUUAAGGACUACCAUAACUACACAGUUGCACGCGUGCUGUUCUUGCGCAUAUGGGCGGAACAUUAUGGGGAUCUAUGAGGCACAUUAUACCAGCUUCCACAUCAACACUUAGCACCCCCGCUGCAACGCGGGGGGUGCUUCCUUCUAGUUUUUGUAAAAUAUUAACUUUCAAUUAUUAGAAUUUUCUACGGAUAGAUUUUGUUCGAGUCUAUAUCUCUAUAUAUAUUUUUAAAAGAUAAACUUCAUUCACCAAAGAAACCAUAAGCAAGUUCUCAAAUUAAGGACCGUAAGGAAAACCAGAAAUUAUAUCAAUACUAGGUUAGAACCCCGUGUAAUACACGGGUUGAAUAAAUGUAAUUUAAUUUAUAUACCAAAUAAUAAAAAAAAUAUAUCUUUAAAAGCCUCGUUUAUUACACGGGUUGAAUAAAUGUAAUUUUAU